ACGGAAGGCAGCAGUGGGGAAUAUUGGGCAAUGGGCGAAAGCCUGACCCAGCGACGCCGCGUGAAGGAAGAAGGCCUUCGGGUUGUAAACUUCUUUUAUCAGGGACGAAGGAAGUGACGGUACCUGAUGAAUAAGCCACGGCUAACUACGUGCCAGCAGCCGCGGUAAUACGUAGGUGGCAAGCGUUAUCCGGAUUUACUGGGUGCAAAGGGCGCGUAGGCGGGGAUGCAAGUCAGAUGUGAAAUCUAUGGGCUUAACCCAUAAACUGCAUUUGAAACUGUAUCUCUUGAGUGUCGGAGAGGUAGAUGGAAUUCCUAGUGUAGCGGUGAAAUGCGUAGAUAUUAGGAGGAACACCAGUGGCGAAGGCGAUCUACUGGACGAUAACUGACGCUGAGGCGCGAAAGCGUGGGGAGCAAACAGGAUUAGAUACCCUGGUA
rnacentral:rRNA from 1 species